AAUGCUGUGUCAUAGCUGGUUGGUUCCGGGUCAGAUCUAAAAUUUGAAUGUAUUUGGUCCCCUUCAACCAGCUGUAAACUGUCAUUGGAA
rnacentral:pre_miRNA from 1 species